CCAUAAACACAACUGCCUGGUCAGCACUCCUUGGGGAAGGUCUUUCUUUCUCCCUGCCCAUCCCAGAAUGGGUUAAAUCUAAGGCAGGAAAAACGAGACUAAAAAAAAAAACUGGUGUUUUCCAUCAAGUUAGGUUGAACAUUGCCCUUCUACCCUGGAACGCUGCUUCGAUCACAGGCCUGUCUGUGCACAUCUCCCCUCGGACAGAACUGCAGCCUUCUUGGAGUGCCAACAAAAGCACAAGAGGAGCACCCUCUGGGGCUCGGUGGGUGCUCCCCACUGAGCCCGGCACAGAGCAGAUGCGCAGUAACACCUGUGGCCUGAAUGGAAGCAGUGGCGGCCAGGCCUGAGGACCAGACUCAAAGCACCAGCUGAGAGGAUGAGAAGCCUCUCUCUCAUCUGAUGGUGAAGAUACUUCCCUAAAGCUGCCACCUGACCACAUCGUUCCU
rnacentral:lncRNA from 13 species